GAUGAACGCUGGCGGCGUGCCUAAUACAUGCAAGUCGAGCGAACGGACGAGAAGCUUGCUUCUCUGAUGUUAGCGGCGAACGGGUGAGUAACACGUGGAUAACCUACCUCUAAGACUGGGAUAACUGCGGGAAACCGGAUCUAAUACCGGAUAAUAUUUUGGAGCGCAUCGUUCAAAAGUGAAAGGCGCUCUUGCUGGCACUUAUCGCUCGAUCCGUCCUGCAUUAGAUAGUUGGUCAGGUAACCGCCUCGCAAGGCAACGGUGCAUAGACGACCUGCGAGGCGGGUCGGCGACACGGGAGCGGAGACACGGUCCAGACUCCUACGAGAGGCCGCAGUAGGGAAUCUGCCGCAAUGGGCGAAAACAUUGCGGAGCAACGGCGCGUGAGUGAUGAAAGUCUUCGGAUCGGAAAACUCUGUUAUUAGGGAAAAACAUAUGUGUAAGUAACUGUGCACAUCGUGACGGUACCUAAUCAGAAAGCCACGGCUAACUACGUG
rnacentral:rRNA from 1 species